ACCCGCUGAACUUAAGCAUAUCAAUAAGCGGAGGAAAAGAAACCAACAGGGAUUGCCUCAGUAACGGCGAGUGAAGCGGCAACAGCUCAAAUUUGAAAUCUGGCCUCACGGUCCGAGUUGUAAUUUGCAGAGGACGUCUCGGGUGCGACGCCGGUCUAAGUUCCUUGGAACAGGACGUCAUAGAGGGUGAGAAUCCCGUACGUGACCGGCGAUCAACCCCAUACGAGGCCCCUUCGACGAGUCGAGUUGUUUGGGAAUGCAGCUCUAAAUGGGUGGUAAAUUUCAUCUAAAGCUAAAUACCGGCCAGAGACCGAUAGCGCACAAGUAGAGUGAUCGAAAGAUGAAAAGCACUUUGGAAAGAGAGUUAAACAGUACGUGAAAUUGUUGAAAGGGAAGCGCUUGCAACCAGACUUGCUCGUGGGUGAUCAGCCGCCCU
rnacentral:rRNA from 1 species